CUUGAUCGAGCCCACCCACAACGGCUGCUCUGCAGGACGGCCUUGCCCGUACGUGGCCAACAACGCAUUCGCUUC
rfam:Mycobacterium kansasii strain 1010001458 NODE_43_length_47602_cov_38.6723_ID_2486, whole genome shotgun sequence.